UGGCAGAGUUUGUAUUUGCAUGAUGCAACCAUGAGUCAUAUUCUAUUAUUGUCUAAUUCAAUUGUACCAUGUAGGUGAAUGUUCUGCAGGCUACUACUAUGACUGGGGCUCCAGCAGUCUGGAGCAGAGUCUCUGUCCUUCCGGUUUCUAUUGCCCAGCAGGCCCACACAAGCCCCUGGCCUGCACUGCAAGCACUUACAGCUCCGUCAUGGGCAAAAGUCACCAAGGAAAUUGUUAGCCAUGCCCAUUAUGCUUCUACCGUCAGGAUCCUAUUGUAUUACAAUGCGGGGGAAGCAGUAGCAGAACCUCUUCCAUGUCUGCCGGGGCAUUUCUGCCCCACGGGCACAUCACAGGGCACUCAGUUACCCUGUCCUCCAGGAACAGUGCAGGCACAGUCUGGGACAGCCAGUAAAGAUGAAUGUCUACCAUGUCCUGCAGGUGACAACAUGACAACAAAAAGAUUUAUUGCAUGUAUAGACUACCGUUCAAAGUUUGUGGGUCAGUAAUAUUUUCUGUCUAAAAUUCUCUGUAUGUGGAGAAAAAAACAUCUAAUUCAUGUAAUCUGUUUGUCUAGGCAUGUUUUGUGCUUGCCAUGGUCUUUCAGAGCCUACAGGGUGCUGCCAGGAUGGAUUUCACUGCCCUUUAGGGGCUACAAGCCCAAAUGGCACUUGAAAUCUGGUAUAUAUUGUUCUGUCUCUUAAUAAAGACACUGUGUGUUCACAAAGGGUUAAACUAAUUUACAAUGUGUGAUUUGCAGAUUGAAUCUACAGGCAACAACUUGCACCCGCCUGGCCAUUAUUGUCCAACUGGUAUUGGCUUUCCUCUCCCAUGCCCCGCUGGAACGUUCUCCAGCUCCCCAUGGUUGAGUGGGACAGAGCAGUGCCAGCCAUGUCCUCCUGGGUACUUCUGUGUGCAGACUGCUAUGGUCCAUCCAUCAGAAGCAGCUCUCUGUGAUGCUGGGUAAAUAUAUCUAUGCUUUUCAGUAUCUAAACACAGUCAUCUGACAACAGUACACCCACACCCUCUUGAGUUGUGCCAGCCAGGUGCACUCAUGUAUUGCUAAUGGCACGUUUUCAGAUGUUAAAGAUUUAUUGUCCAUUACUGAGUAGUGUUGAAACUAUUAUUGAUAUUCUCCAUUACUGAAAUGUUACGUAAAGUGCAGGAAAUGGUUACAAAACUUAUUAAAACGACUCUGUGGAUCCACUUUCUAUCCAGUUGUGGCUGGGUUGGAAAACAGAUACAGUGGAGUGGCAAUGAAGUGCUUUUGCGAUUGGCUUGUCGAGAAGGUUUAUUCAUCAGGCAUCUAUAACCUGGUGUACACUUAAAAAAUGAUGACAGCCUUAUUUCUCCCUCACAGAUAUGUGUGUAUCAAUGGCAGGUGUAGUGCUCGACCGGUAGAUGGACUACAGGGUUAUAUUUGUCCGAGUGGACACAGUUAUCCCAUUGGUACUCCAUUGGAAUUGCCUUGUGAGCCUGUCACAUACAGCAGUGCUCCUGGCGCUGCCCAUUGUCUCUCAUGCCCAGCUGGCACUAUGUGGCUCAUGAAUAAUUGUUUUUCUAUU
rnacentral:lncRNA from 1 species